CAGUCGCCGCGGGAAUACGAAGGGUGCAAGCGUUAAUCGGAAUUACUGGGCGUAAAGCGUGCGUAGGCGGUGAGUUAAGUCUGCUGUGAAAUCCCCGGGCUCAACCUGGGAAUGGCAGUGGAUACUGGCUCGCUAGAGUGUGUCAGAGGAUGGUGGAAUUCCCGGUGUAGCGGUGAAAUGCGUAGAGAUCGGGAGGAACAUCAGUGGCGAAGGCGGCCACCUGGGACAACACUGACGCUGAGGCACGAAAGCGUGGGGAGCAAACAGGAUUAGAUACCCCCGUAGUCCCUGUCUCUUAUAA
rnacentral:rRNA from 1 species